UGCAGUCGACGGCAGCGCGGACUUCGGUCUGGCGGCGAGUGGCGAACGGGUGAGUAAUACAUCGGAACGUACCCUGUUGUGGGGGAUAACUAGUCGAAAGAUUAGCUAAUACCGCAUACGACCUGAGGGUGAAAGCGGGGGACCGAAAGGCCUCGCGCAGCAGGAGCGGCCGAUGUCUGAUUAGCUAGUUGGUGGGGUAAAGGCCCACCAAGGCGACGAUCAGUAGCUGGUCUGAGAGGACGAUCAGCCACACUGGGACUGAGACACGGCCCAGACUCCUACGGGAGGCAGCAGUGGGGAAUUUUGGACAAUGGGGGCAACCCUGAUCCAGCAAUGCCGCGUGUGUGAAGAAGGCCUUCGGGUUGUAAAGCACUUUUGUCCGGAAAGAAAUUGCUCUGGCUAAUACCUGGGGUAGAUGACGGUACCGGAAGAAUAAGCACCGGCUAACUACGUGCCAGCAGCCGCGGUAAUACGUAGGGUGCGAGCGUUAAUCGGAAUUACUGGGCGUAAAGCGUGCGCAGGCGGUUUUGUAAGACAGGCGUGAAAUCCCCGGGCUCAACCUGGGAAUUGCGCUUGUGACUGCAAGGCUAGAGUGCGUCAGAGGGGGGUAGAAUUCCACGUGUAGCAGUGAAAUGCGUAGAGAUGUGGAG
rnacentral:rRNA from 1 species